GGAUAAAGCAAUCCACCAUAGACAAGACGAAACUAUGUUAAAGGUUCCAAGGUCGAAGGACAAAAGUCUCUCGAUCGAGAGAGAGAGAGAGAUUUGGCAAUAACGUCUUUCAUUGACGAUUUCUACUCCAGAAUUUAGGUGUUCGUUCUUGAAAAUCAGGGGGACGUUGGUACACAAUCGAUGCAGCUUUAAUCAAAAUGCCAGCAGUUAUAGCCCAUAUUAUAUACUUCUCAUUCUCUGUUUCAUGAUCAAAGAAAUGAAGAACAUAUUCAUCUCCCAUGUAUUCACGUUCUUGUUCUCGUCGAUUCUCAUCCUUGAGAAACAUCUCUAGAGGUGCAUCAAAUAGUGAUGCCACUUCUGCAGUAUUUAUCAACGGGUUGAAUGUGUUCCGGUCCCAAAGUAUGCCCACGACAGGAAUCACCGUAAUUCCCUUCUUGUUGGUAAAGGAUUCAAGAACAGUAACAACAUCUACAAGUGAACGGUCUAAUCCGAUCUCCUCCUCAGCCUCCCUCAAUGCUGUCUCAACGUUAUCGGCAUCCCCUUCUUCUACUUUCCCACCAGGCAAAGCAACUUCACCUGAGUGUGAAGAAAGUGUUGAAGCUCUUUUGGUGAGGAUUACACGAAGAUGGCCUUGUGGGUCUUCAAAUAGACACACCAAAACUGCAGCCCUGUUUGAUUUAGGUAUUGGGUUUAUCCCCAAUUCUUGAUUUUUGGGAACAAAUUCUUGAAUUUUCGAAAUUUGGGUACUUAUAGAGUUAUAAAGACGAAGUCUUUCAGCUAACUUCACAAGGCUCUCUGAUCU
rnacentral:misc_RNA from 1 species